UACGUAGGCAGCAAGCGUUGUUCGGAGUUACUGGGCGUAAAGGGUGUGUAGGCGGUUGCUUAAGUUUGGUGUGAAAUCUCCCGGCUCAACUGGGAGGGUGCGCCGAAUACUGAGUGACUCGAGUGCGGGAGAGGAAAGUGGAAUUCCUGGUGUAGCGGUGAAAUGCGUAGAUAUCAGGAGGAACAUCGGUGGUGUAGACGGCUUUCUGGACCGUAACUGACGCUGAGACACGAAAGCGUGGGUAGCAAACAGG
rnacentral:rRNA from 1 species